rnacentral:lncRNA from 1 species
CUGCGGCACUGUGAGCGACUCCCUUGCAGGGGCCUCUAAUAGUGUGUGUUUUUUCCUGUGUGAGCAGGCGUGUCGCUGGAUGGCAGACUUCCUGUCUUUUUGUUUGGUCCAAUGGUUGCCCGGAGGUCUAGUCAAGCCCCACCGAACUCAUGACGGCAAUGGUGGGGGAGGGUCACGUGUGUACUGUUGUUCUAUAAGAUUCGCAUAGUAGGUAGAUAGCUGUGUCGUCGCCCUCUUCUCGGAAGUUCAAAUUCAAACAUUAUUUGAAGGAUUUACUGUCGCGUACGCUGUGAAAGAUUUUUUUCUCAAAACUUUUCUCCCUUGCCCUGUGCAUAACGAAAAGUUAUUUAUUUUCAUCCGAAAUAUAGGGGGAAAUGUUUGUAACUUUUCAACGCUCGAAAUGAUCUGUGCGGCUGCCAAGAAAUACAUGCCUGGCAGGUUGAGGAACAUAAGCUCCAAAGAUGUAAAUUGUCAAGAGGCUGAGGACUCUUGAGUCCAGUUGGCUUCCUGGAGCCUGUGAUGGAGGGGACGAUAGCUCACUCUCAGCAGACCCCUCCAACUGAAGCUAAUC